GUAGCAUGUCCUAUUGAGAACUUCCCAAGCUUCGCCGCUGCCAUGACUCACCGUGUAUUUUCUUCUGGUUCAUUAAUUCAGGAAUUAAACUUAUUGCUUCUUUAGAUAAAGGCCGUGUCAGAGCAUCCCCGUGAGCUUCUUAACAAUUCUUGGUUUUGGUGACUGAUCUAUUCAGAAGCCUGGCUUUGAAUGUGUUGCAAUUGAUGGAAAGAGUUCGAUUGAUUUUUCAGGUGAACUUUGCUUUGGGCCAUUCAUGAAGAAGCAGCAUCACCGCCUGAAGACGUUCCUGGGAAGUGCUUCCUCCACUGAUCUCCCCAGAGCUGAAGAAGCGGGCGGCCUGACCAGGCAGCAGGGCCCUCACGGGGCAGGGGAAAUCCUCGGCCCUCGCCUGGGCCCAGCAGGCAGCUGGAUGUGAACAGUGGCUGCUAUCACAAGUGCAACGCUACCAUUUGCUGCAGAGAUCUCUAAUGAGCCAGGAACGCUGGAAUUUUUCCAGCACGUCGCCCCUGUUGGCUGCCCUCCCAUUUGGUCAUGCUAAACGACUAGGGCCGCCAGUGGUACAUCUGUCUUCCUGGAGUUUCACCAAGGUCUGCAACAAGUGUGUGCACAGGAGUCGAUCCUGCACUUGGCUGUGGAUUUGGGUCAACAUGGGGAGAAAACCAGAUCAGAGAUCUCUUUAGCAAAGCCCCAUCAAGCUGCUGUGGAGCCUGGCAAGCUGUGGUCAGAAGAAUGUCUUACCUUCCUCCUCGCACUGGCAGGGGGCUACACCCUUUCCUGGAAGGCUCCUGCUGUUGCCUGCAGUGAGGCCACUUGUCCUGUGUCAGACCAGGAUGAUCCUCACCCCCAGACAGGAUGGAAGGACCCGAGCGGGGUAGCCCACAGCCAGGAGGUGGCCGUCUGUGUGAAACCAGAGCGUCCCACGCCAGGCAGGAUCAGAAAGCAGGAGGAAGGGCUGGAUCUCUCGAGGUGGAGGAACACGCCGUCUGGUAGCUACAUCCGGACUGCUACGGUUUCAAUCUGCUCCUUUCAAUGAGGCUUUCAUUCCUGGGCUUAGAGAAAGGUUCUUCUCUUCUGCUUUCUUCUCUCUUUUUCAGAGGUAAGUGGGGUAGCUAAGGGGGGAGAACAGACAUCUCAUCUGCAGGGCAGGACAGAGAGCCAGCAGGAGAAAAAAGGGAACAAAACCAAAGCACAGAAAAGUGGCAGCUUUGAGGGCUUUCAAGUACCAUUGUCGGGGAGAGAAAAAAAUG